rnacentral:rRNA from 1 species
AACGCUAGCUACAGGCUUAACACAUGCAAGUCCUUGGAAAGCAUGAACUUAGCUUGCUAAGUUUGAUGGCGACCGGCGCACGGGUGAGUAACACGUAUCCAACCUUCCCUUUACUCAGGGAUAGCCUUUCGAAAGAAAGAUUAAUACCUGAUAGUAUGGUGAGAUUGCAUGAUAGCACCAUUAAAGAUUUAUUGGUAAACGAUGGGGAUGCGUUCCAUUAGGUAGUAGGCGGGGUAACGGCCCACCUAGCCAACGAUGGAUAGGGGUUCUGAGAGGAAGGUCCCCCACAUUGGAACUGAGACACGGUCCAAACCCCUACGGGAGGCAGCAGUGAGGAUUUUUGGUCAAUGGGCGAGAGCCUGAACCAGCCAAGUAGCGUGAAGGAUGAAGGUCCUACGGAUUGCCCACUUCUUUUAUACGGGAAUAAAGUAUCCUACGUGUAGGAUUUUGUAUGUACCGUAUGAAUAAGCAUCGGCUAACUCCGUGCCAGCAGCCGCGGUAAUACGGAGGAUGCGAGCGUUAUCCGGAUUUAUUGGGUUUAAAGGGAGCGCAGACGGGAGAUUAAGUCAGUUGUGAAAGUUUGCGGCUCAACCGUAAAAUUGCAGUUGAUACUGGUUUCCUUGAGUGCAGUUGAGGCAGGCGGAAUUCGUGGUGUAGCGGUGAAAUGCUUAGAUAUCACGAAGAACUCCGAUUG